rnacentral:rRNA from 1 species
AUGCAACUUAUGGUGUCUUUAUACUCUUUAAGAUCAUGCGACGACGAUAUCAACAGGCCUCUAAUAUCAGACAAGUUGGAUGACUACUCGGGCCCAAGCAAUAACCUUGGUAGCAAUAAUGCUGGUGAGUCUACAAUGUGGACAAAUAGGAGUACCACUUCACCAAGGACGCAUACUCAUCCCACUGAAUCUCAUCCUAUUGAAGGAGAAGUUCAUGUGAUUGAUGUUACAAAUGGUACACCGGAAGAGCUCCAUCUAGGAAGUACGCUGAAGCGUACAGCGGAAGCAAGUGUGCGAGCAUCUGAGGCGAAGCACACAAGAAGGGCUUCUGGAGAGAAUAAUAAUGGCGGCAUUCCUGUGAAGGAUAUUACAGUUGGAAGCCACCUAGCCUUGGAGGUCAUAGCUGGCCCAUCUCAUGGAAUAAACCGCUACCUGCAGUCAGGUAAUACGUCCAUGCUCCCAAUGACUCUUGGAAGGAUUCCUCAAAGCGAUUUGGUGUUAAAGGAUUCUGAGGUGUCAGGAAAGCAUGCACGGAUUGACUGGAAUCCAAAUACACUCAGAUGGGAACUUGUGGAUAUGGGCAGUUUGAAUGGAACCUUCUUGAAUUCCCAGGCAGUUACCCAUCCUGAUGUUGGUUCUAGGCGUUGGAGUGCGCCUGCCGAACUUGCUGAUGGUGAUAUUAUAACACUUGGGAGUUCAUCAAAAGUAUCUUUUGGGCUGUUUGCCAUUUUUGAUGGCCAUGGAGGGGAUGGGGCUGCAAAAGCUGCCAGCAGGAUUCUUCCAGAGAAUGUUGCGAAAAUUCUUUCUCAGAAGGAAACAAUAGAAAGAGUUCUCACAUGCGGCAAUGCUUCUGAUGUUCUUAAGUGUGCAUUUGACUUGACAGAAGCUGCACUCAAUCAUCAGUAUGAGGGUUGUACAGCAACUGUCCUUCUUAUUUGGUUUGAUCAGAACAAAGAUUGCUUUGCCCAGUGCGCUAAUCUCGGUGACUCGGCAUGUAUUAUGAAUGUCGACGGGAAACCAAUUGCGAUGACAGAGGAUCAUCGAGUAGUCAGUACCACAGAACGAGCGAGGAUAGCGAAAUUAGGGAAUCCCCUGAAAGAUGGCGAAAGCCGUAUAUGUGGACUGAAUCUUUGCAGGAUGCUUGGAGACAAGUUUCUCAAAGAGCAAGAUCCAAGGUUCAGUAAGGAACCAUAUGUGAGCCCAGUAGUUCAGAUCUCGAAAUCAUGCUCAGCUUUUGCGCUUAUCGCUAGCGAUGGCUUAUGGGAUGUCAUUACCGCGAAAAAGGCAGCACAGCUUGUCCUCGAUUAUAAGGAGAGGAACAUGGGCCAAGAAAUCUCAGCGGACGGAGUAGCAGACCAUGUGCUUAGUGAAGCCAGGAAUCUGCGGACGAAGGACAACACAUCGGUGAUAUUUUUAGACUUCGACGCCAUGAGAAUGGGUCGCUGA